rnacentral:rRNA from 1 species
GAUGAACGCUAGCGGCAGGCCUAAUACAUGCAAGUCGGAUGGGAUUGGAGAGCUUGCUUUCCAUGAGAGUGGCGCACGGGUGCGUAACACGUAUGUAACCUACCUUGUUCAGGGGGAUAGCCUCUCGAAAGAGAGAUUAAGACCGCAUAACAUUGCGAUGUGGCAUCACAUUGUAAUCAAAUAUUUAUAGGAACAAGAUGGGCAUGCGGAACAUUAGCUAGUUGGUAAGGUAAGGGCUUACCAAGGCUACGAUGUUUAGGGGAUCUGAGAGGAUGACCCCCCACACUGGUACUGAGACACGGACCAGACUCCUACGGGAGGCAGCAGUAAGGAAUAUUGGUCAAUGGGCGGAAGCCUGAACCAGCCAUGCCGCGUGCAGGAAGACGGCCCUAUGGGUUGUAAACUGCUUUUGCAGGGGAAUAAACCUUGGUACGUGUACCAAGCUGAAUGUACUCUGAGAAUAAGGAUCGGCUAACUCCGUGCCAGCAGCCGCGGUAA